GGCCGGGCGGCUUGGGGAGAAGGCGCGGGGCCGGGGCGGCUGCAGCGGAGACGCGGCCCGGCCUCACGGCGCCUCGGGGUCUCGCAGCUUGCCGUCGACAUGCAGAACGACGCCGGAGAGUUCGUGGACCUGUACGUGCCGCGGAAAAUGCUCCGCCAGCAACCGCAUCAUCGGCGCCAAGGACCCGCGUCCAUCCAGAUGAACGUGGCCGAGGUGAGCCGGCGGAGGCAACGGCCCGUCCCGCCCGGGGUAAAGCCCCCGGCGGCCGAGCCAGUCGGGGUGGCCUACGGGCUGAGCCUCCCGACCCCAGAUCUUUAGGAUUCGCGUUGACGAUUUGCAGGUUGCAAGGUGACGGUAGGUUUAACGGCCAGUUUAAAACCUCUGCGAUCUGCGGGCUAUCCGGAGGAUGGUGAGUUUUCCCUGGCUUUGCGCACCGGGUGUGCGGUUGGUGGGAAGGGAUCUUCCUUUCGGAGGCUCGAGUAGAUUUGUGGCAGAGUGGGUGAACUUGUGGGGCUGUGCUAGCCGCCUGUUCUUCCUGCCGCGGUAGGGGUGGCUAAGGGGCCCAAGAUAGGAACCCCUGAGAAAGCCUCAGGUACCCCCCCACCCCCCGCCCCCCAUAAUCAGGUAUGAGGCCCUUUGCCCGCCUCUCCACUGGACCUCCUGCCAGCUGGGUUUAGCAGGGGUGAUAGUCGAGCACUUUUUUCCAGGGUGAGUCUGAUGACUCCAUUCUACGACUGGCCAAGCCGCGGCAUCGUUUCAAGUAAGAACUUCUGACCAGAGAG